rnacentral:rRNA from 1 species
GACGAGCCUCACAAACGUUAUUCGGAAUUACUGGGCUUAAAGGGUGCGUAGGCGGCGCGGAAAGUUGGGUGUGAAAUCCCUCGGCUCAACCGAGGAACUGCGCCCAAAACUACCGUGCUCGAGGAAGAUAGAGGUGAGCGGAACUCACGGUGGAGCGGUGAAAUGCGUUGAUAUCGUGAGGAACACCCGUGGCGAAAGCGGCUCACUGGGUCUUCUCUGACGCUGAUGCACGAAAGCUAGGGGAGCAAACGGG